UAUAGUGGCGACCGGGUGAGUAACACGUGACUAACCUACCUUCGAGUGGGGGAUAACCUCGGGAAACCGGGGCUAAUACCGCAUAAAAUCUUCGUUAUGAGAAAGCGGAGAUCAAAGGAGCAAUUCGCUUGAAGAGGGGGUCGCGGCUGAUUAGCUAGUUGGUGGGGUAACGGCCCACCAAGGCUUUGAUCGGUAGCCGGCCUGAGAGGGCGCACGGCCACACUGGAACUGAAACACGGUCCAG
rnacentral:rRNA from 1 species